GAUCCUUUAGAUACAGUCGAGGUAGUCCAUCAAUUAUAAAAUGCUAGAGCAAAACAUUAUUAAACACAGUCAGUCAUCACGAAGUGCACCAAUAUUUUUGGUGCCUAAGGAAAGCGAUGGUGUAGUCGAGAUGGCUUACAAUCCGAUCUAGAAAUUCAAGCUUCAAAAAUGGUGCCUUACUAAACUGUAAGCUAAUUAUUUUUCCACAUACGGUCUUGGUGCACUUUUGAAUCCAAUGUUUUAAUUUCCCGAUCUUGUUUCGUUCAUAUUAAAAACAAAAACCAGAGAUUACCAGUUUUGAAUGCGCAAUAUGAAGUUUACUUGAAUCACAUUUAAUCGACUAGACAAGAGUAGAACAAUGUUUGUAGCAGUCUUUAUUUGUAGUCUUAUUUGUGGUGAAGUUUAUUUUUCCGAUUUAGUUUGUCUGUUCUAAGGAGAUUAACUAGAAAUUCAUUUCACUUAUUUUAAAUCACGA